rnacentral:misc_RNA from 1 species
GAUGAAGAACGUAGCGAAAUGCGAUACGUAAUGUGAAUUGCAGAAUUCAGUGAAUCAUCGAGUCUUUGAACGCACAUUGCGCCCCCUGGUAUUCCGGGGGGCAUGCCUGUCCGAGCGUCAUUGCUGCCCUCAAGCACGGCUUGUGUGUUGGGCCUCCGUCCUCCUCCCGGGGGACGGGCCCGAAAGGCAGCGGCGACACCGCGUCCGGUCCUCGAGCGUAUGGGGCUUCGUCACCCGCUCUUGUAGGCCCGGCCGGCGCUUGCCGACACAUCAAUCUUUUUUCCAGGUUGACCUCGGAUCAGGUAGGGAUACCCGCUGAACUUAAGCAUAUCAAUAAGCGGAGGA